rnacentral:rRNA from 1 species
GCCAAUUGCAUUGCCCGGUAGCUAAGUGCGGAAGAGAUAACCGCUGAAAGCAUCUAAGCGGGAAACUUGCCUCGAGAUGAGUCUUCCCUGGGCACCAGAUGCCCCUGAAGGGCCGUUGAAGACGACGACGUAGAUAGGCUGGGUGUGUAAGCGUAGCGAUACGUUGAGCUGACCAGUACUAAUGACCCGGGAGGCUUAACCUU